rnacentral:rRNA from 1 species
AUACAGAGGGUGCGAGCGUUAAUCGGAAUUACUGGGCGUAAAGCGCGCGUAGGCGGCUUGAUCAGUCGGAUGUGAAAGCCCCGGGCUCAACCUGGGAACUGCAUUCGAUACUGUCAGGCUAGAGUAUGGUAGAGGGAAGUGGAAUUCCAGGUGUAGCGGUGAAAUGCGUAGAGAUCUGGAGGAACAUCAGUGGCGAAGGCGACUUCCUGGACCAAUACUGACGCUGAGGUGCGAAAGCGUGGGGAGCAAACAGGAUUAGAUACCCUAGUAGUCC